rnacentral:rRNA from 1 species
AGGCAUAGACAGCUAGGAGGUUGGCUUAGAAGCAGCCACCCUUUAAAGAAAGCGUAAUAGCUCACUAGUCGAGUCGGCCUGCGCGGAAGAUGUAACGGGGCUAAGCAAUAUACCGAAGCUGCGGCAGAGGACAUCACUUAACUUCAUUUAUGAUGAAAGCUAACAGCAACGUCGCGAAGCGGCCUGCUGGUAAAGCGUUUAUCACAGUGGAGUGGGGUUAAGGAUGUCCUCUGGGUAGGGGAGCGUUGUGUAAGUGGAUGAAGGUGAGUUGUAAAGCUUGCUGGACAUAUCACAAGUGCGAAUGCUGACAUGAGUAACGAUAAUGGGAGUGAAAAACUCCCACGCCGGAAGACCAAGGUUUCCUGUCCCAUGCUAAUCAGGGCAGGGUAAGUCGGCCCCUAAGGCGAGGCAGAAAUGCGUAGUCGAUGGGAAACGGAUUAAUAUUUCCGUACUUGUAUAAUCAGUGAUGGAGGGACGGAGAAGGCUAGGCAAGCUUGGCGUUGGUAGUCCAAGUGAAAGUGUGUAGGCUGGAAUUUUAGGUAAAUCCGGAAUUCCAAGGCCGAGACACGAGACGAGCUCCCAAGGGAGUGAAGUUGUUGAUGCCCUGCUUCCAGGAAAAGCUUCUAAACUUAUGAUUAUAUGAACCGUACCCCAAACCGACACAGGUGGUCAGGUAGAGAAUACUAA